rnacentral:rRNA from 1 species
GUCCACACCGUAACGAUGAUUACUAGGUGUUGGAGGAUUGACCCUUCAGUGCCGCAGUUAACACAAUAAGUAAUCCACCUGGGGAGUACGACCGCAAGGUUGAACUCAAGGAAUUGACGGGCCCGGCACAAGCAGUGGAGUAUGUGGUUUAAUUCGACGCAACGCGAAGAACCUUUACCAAGUCUUGACAUCCCUUGACGAUGCUGGAAACAGUAUUUCUCUUCGGAGCAAGGAGACAGGUGGUGCAUGGUUGUCGU